rnacentral:rRNA from 1 species
AUACGUAGGGGGCGAGCGUUGUCCGGAAUUACUGGGCGUAAAGGGUGCGUAGGCGGCUGAUCAAGUCAGAUGUGAAAUACCACGGCUUAACUGUGGGGGUGCAUUUGAAACUGGUUAGCUUGAGUGCAGGAGAGGAAAGCGGAAUUCCUAGUGUAGCGGUGAAAUGCGUAGAGAUUAGGAGGAACACCGGUGGCGAAGGCGGCUUUCUGGACUGUAACUGACGCUGAGGCACGAAAGCGUGGGGAGCGAACAGGAUUAGAUACCCUGGUAGUCCACGCCGUAAACGAUGGAUACUAGGUGUAGGGGGUAUCGACCCCUCCUGUGCCGGAGUUAACGCAAUAAGUAUCCCGCCUGGGGAGUACGGCCGCAAGGUUGAA